GGUGAACGUACCUCUGGUGGACCUGUUGUCGCGCCAGCGGCAUAGCAGGGUAGCUAAGUCCGGACGGGAUAACCGCUGAAAGCAUCUAAGCGGGAAGCCUCCCUCGAGAUGAGAUCUCCCUGACCCCUUGAGGGUCCUGAAGGGCCGUGGAAGACCACCACGUUGAUAGGCGGGAUGUGGACGCGCUGCGAGGCGUGAAGCUAACCCGUACUAAUUGCCCGUGCGGCUUGACCAUAUAACGCCAAAGCAGUU
rnacentral:rRNA from 1 species